CUCCGACUCCUCGCAUGGGGUGUCGGGAAAGAUUUCAUCGGUAUGGGAUGGGGUCGCGUCCUAUCAGGUAGUCGGCGGGGUAACGGCCCACCGAGCCUACGACGGGUAGCCGGCCUGAGAGGGCGACCGGCCACAUUGGGACUGAGAUACGGCCCAGACUCCUACGGGAGGCAGCAGUGGGGAAUAUUGCACAAUGGGCGCAAGCCUGAUGCAGCGACGCCGCGUGCGGGAUGACGGCCUUCGGGUUGUAAACCGCUUUUGAUCGGGAGCGAGCCUUCGGGUGAGUGUACCUUUCGAAUAAGCACCGGCUAACUACGUGCCAGCAGCCGCGGUAAUACGUAGGGUGCAAGCGUUAUCCGGAAUUAUUGGGCGUAAAGGGCUCGUAGGCGGUUCGUCGCGUCCGGUGUGAAAGUCCAUCGCUUAACGGUGGAUCUGCGCCGGGUACGGGCGGG
rnacentral:rRNA from 1 species